UAUUAGGUUGGUGCAAAAGUAAUUGAGGUCUUUGUCAUUACUUUCAAUGACAAAGACCUCAAUUACUUUUGCACCAACCUAAUA
rnacentral:pre_miRNA from 1 species